rnacentral:rRNA from 1 species
CAAGUCGAACGCGAAAGUUCCCUUCGGGGGACAAGUAGAGUGGCGCACGGGUGAGUAACACGUAGGUAAUCUACCUUCGGAUGGGGAAUAACAACCGGAAACGGUUGCUAAUACCGCAUAAUGCAGCGGCACCUAAUGGUGACAGUUGUUAAAGCGGGGGAUCGCAAGACCUCGCGUCUGAAGAGGAGCCUGCGGCGGAUUAGCUAGUUGGUAAGGUAACGGCUUACCAAGGCGACGAUCCGUAGCCGGCCUGAGAGGGCGGUCGGCCACACUGACACUGACAUACGGGUCAGACUCCUACGGGAGGCAGCAGUCGGGAAUUUUGGGCAAUGGGCGAAAGCCUGACCCAGCAACGCCGCGUGAAGGAUGAAAUCCCUCGGGAUGUAAACUUCGCAAGAACGGGAAGAAUAAGUCUGUGUAAAUACCACAGAUGAUGACGGUACCGUUUGUAAGCUCCGGCUAACUCCGUGCCAGCAGCCGCGGUAAUACGGGGGGAGCAAGCGUUGUUCGGAUUUACUGGGCGUAAAGGGCGCGUAGGCGGCCAGCGCAAGUCAGUUGUGAAAUCUCCGAGCUUAACUCGGAAAGGUCAACUGAUACUGCGCGGCUAGAGUGCAGAAGGGGCAACUGGAAUUCUUGGUGUAGCGGUGAAAUGCGUAGAUAUCAAGAGGAACACCUGCGGCGAAGGCGGGUUGCUGGGCUGACACUGACGCUGAUGCGCGAAAGCUAGGGGAGCGAACGGGAUUAGAUACCCCGGUAGUCCUAGCCUUAAACGAUGAAUGCUUGGUGUCUGGGGUUAUAAAGUCCCCGGGUGCCGUC